AGGGUUAAUGCCUAUACAAGAUCUGAUUUUAAGGUUUGAAAGAUCAUGCGGAAUGAUAUCUGAAUCAAUUAGGUAUGGGUCCAACAUACAGUUGAGGGUUGUGGAGGACAAGUUGAUGAGGCAGAAAGCUCAGCUCCUGCUUGAUGAGGCUGCUUCGUGGUCUCUUCUGUGGUACCUAUAUGGAAAAGGGACUGAAGAACCCCCUGAGGAUCAUAUCCUGAUGAGGUAGUUACAACCCAUGACAAACUCUAACUUGUGAAUGCGCAAAGAAGAGCUACAUGAUUGCUACAAGUUUCUUUCCGGCCCUUUUUUAGACUGCAAGAUCUGAAUGCUGUGUCUGCAAAUACCCCAAUUAGUGUAUGGUACUUAAAGAGGACGAUAAAAGUUUCAACACUUCACCAUCAAAAACAGAGCUGCAUCUGAAUGAUCGUUGAACAAAUUAGUGUUGGUGCCGGAGGUAUAUGUUAUCUUAUGGUGAAACCAGAUUUCAGAUCAUAACAAAGGGACUGCAUCCAUGUACCUGUACUAGUCAAUAUAAAUAGUUGGUGACAUUGAUAUUCUCAUCACAUAGUACAUUUUUCUGGAUGAAGAUGGGAGGAAGAUAGAAGUCUCUUCAUCGUCCAGUCGUUCCUUGAAUCUGAUGAUUCUGUCAAAAUUUAGUUCAAGUAAACUCACUAGGAUUAUGCCAAGUUGGUUUGAUGCAAGGAGUUGUUUAUGAGUAAGUAGUUUGGCUAGAUACUCAACCCGGAUUAUCUAUUUGUCUGUCCUAAUUUACAUGCAUUUGUUCAUGAAUCUAGGUACUCAACUUGGAUUAUCUAUUUGUCUGUUCUAAUUUAGAUACUGAAC